rnacentral:lncRNA from 1 species
AAGCGUUCAUAAUGGUCAAGCAAUAAAAUAUGUACUUACAUUAUGUAUAUACAACAAUGAAUUAAUCUGUUUGUUUCUAAUAUUGUGCAUGCAUAAAACGUGGAAUCAUGCAGAAUAUUGGUUAAUAUUGGAGCGUGUGGCAUAGCUGAUCUAGUUAUAAUACAUUUGAGAAAGUUUGAAUUUUCAAGCAUAAAAGGGUAUUCAUCUUUAACUUUAUAAAAGAUUCUAUGAAAGUAUAAUCUUACUUUUUUUUUGUCAAUGGCCCUAACUACUUAUUUUUAUAUUCCUAAUUGAAGAUGAUGAUCACUAAACGGGGACUUUAUUUAAAAAAUUGAAAAUCCAAGACACUUAAAUAGCGAUUUUGUCUAAAGUUGUAUUAUUCUCAAUAAAGGUAGUAAUUUUACACGCAUCAAUGCUCGACUCUUUUUGCAUGAUGUUUAAAGAACCUAAAUACAAUUCUCUCAAGUCAAUGUUUACACAUAUAUAUAAAUAUAUAUAUAU